UAAUAUUUAAUUGGCUUUUGUUAGUUUAUUGAAAAUUUUGAAACAGGUUUGACGUUCCACAUCUAUUGUGACCUAAAAAUAAGAUACAAAGCAAUGUGGAAUUUAAAAACUAUUGUGAAUUGAAAAUACAUUAACAUCCGUUUGCUAUCGUAUGUCAUAAUGCCAAUCACCGCAUACGAUACACGUAUCAUGUACACCCCUAUCAUGCAUUUCGAUUACGUUCCCGCUCUACGCUCCGCCGGAGUCGAAAUUAGGUAUCAUGCGUUACGAUUGGAUUGAAAGAAGAAGAGGAAGAACUAUAACUCUUUCGAAAUCAGUUGUUUGCUUUGAAAUAUGUGAAACUGGAACAUAACAAAGCAAAAAUACACAAAUUACUGCUGUUCAAAGAAAAUAGAUAAAAGUAAAAUUUUUAUAUUGUUAUUAUUUUUAUUAAACGUAACUAUGGAAUCUUUAUCCGCGGCGAUAUUACUGGUUGAGGAGGAGAGCAGCGCAUCUCAGAAUGCUGGGGUGAGAAUUGAAAGGAGAAGAUUACGAGAUAUGUGCGAUCCCUUCCAGAUGAAUGACGGGCUAUUCAGAAAAACUUUCGUCUGAAUAAGGACGCAUGUCCUAGAUACGUUUGCGGAAGAAACGAAAUUUGAUGCUACCUCUUUCCAAAAAGCCUGCACAUCUUCCUUAGGACGCUGGUGGAAACCGUUGGCUAUAUCUAGCUUACUCUCCAUCAUAUCUGCCAAUUUUCCAUAUUGCUCUGGUGUUGUUGUUUUUGAC